rnacentral:tRNA from 1 species
GCCGGUAUAGCUCAGCUGGUAGAGCAACUGACUUGUAAUCAGUAGGUCCCGGGUUCAACUCCUGGUGCCGGCACCA